rnacentral:rRNA from 1 species
AUUGAACGCUGGCGGCAGGCCUAACACAUGCAAGUCGAGCGAGCGGCGGACGGGUGAGUAAUGUCUGGGAAACUGCCUGAUGGAGGGGGAUAACUACUGGAAACGGUAGCUAAUACCGCAUACCAUCGGAUGUGCCCAGAUGGGAUUAGCUAGUAGGUAGGGUAACGGCUGACCUAGGCGACGAUCCCUAGCUGGUCUGAGAGGAUGACCAGCCACACUGGGACUGAGACACGGUCCAGACUCCUACGGGAGGCAGCAGUGGGGAAUAUUGCACAAUGGGCGCAAGCCUGAUGCAGCCAUGCCGCGUGUAUGAAGAAGGCCCUAGGGUUGUAAAGUACUUUCAGCGGGGAGGCGUUACCGGCAGAAGAAGCACCGGCUAACUCCGUGCCAGCAGCCGCGGUAAUAC